GACUCCUGUGGAUCGAUAGCAAUAGAUGCAGAGAUUAUCUGAUCAUGGAUUAUAACCAGCCGGGAGAAAUAAGCUCUUACUUUGGCAUUUUGAGGAGAUAUACCUGUAGCGUCUUCAGUCAAGAUAAAGAAUACAGUCGCAUGUCAAAGUUCAGCAUCGAAGGGGAAUUUAAGUGAUCAGAUUAUUAUUCAUAGGCUGAAGACAAGUGACAACGCACAUACUGAAGGGACGUGAGGCUUAAGCUGCUUGGUGCGUCUUAAUUACCAUUGCUGGGCGUCAUAGUUGACAUGGACUAGUCGUGGAUUUACUUCGUUGCUAUGCGCAACACUUGUUUCAGGUUUUCUGAGCCUUCAUUACGCCGUGGUAAUCUCUGAGAAAGUUUGGAAAUGUACAAUAAUUUUUCGGGCCUGGUCGAGAGGCAUUGAAGGGGACGUGAUUAUUGAAAACUUUAGAGCUAUAUAUAUAUAUAUCUUCAGUUACUAUUCCCGUCACAGUUUGCUUUCCAGCAGAUCAUGUGGAGUGGAUGCAGGAUAGUGUUUUCCCCUCAAAGGAUGAGAAGAGUAUCACCAAAGAGAGAAGAAUAUGUGGAGGAAAAUCCAUGCUCAUCAAGGAUCCAAGAACACUCAUACAUUCAUGCACUACCAGUUGUUUCUUAUGAUUGCAAUAUGGUGACUGAUAAAGAGAGUGAAGGAGCAGGCUGCAAACAACAUCAAGAUAGAAGAUGAACAUUCAAGGCGAGCUUCAUCAACAAAUACAGGUGUGCAAGGGCAGUGCACAGAAUGAUUGAGUAAUGAUGAAGAAGGCCAUUUCAGCAGCUUGAAGAGGUGCAGCUCAUCUGGAUGCAUGACCCAACAAGAUGGUGAAGGGGUCAAGAUUCACUAGCAUAGAAAAGGCAAAUCAGCAUCGCGAUAUUGCAAUGAAGAUGAGGAAUUUUGCAAUUAUCAUGAAUUUCCUUUGGAAAUCCAAGAUCCAAGAUUAGUACAUCAUGAAGAUACCCAAAUGUUAAGUACAAGAUGAAAGUUCAGCAUACAAGGAAGAGAAAUUAUGAAAGUGACCAAGACAAGUUAAAAGAAUCAAACAAGAUUAGAGGGUCGACUUGAGCAAUAUGGUCAUCAUCACUGGCUUGGAAAUGUUGAGUAUCAAGAUAUAUUGCCUGAAUCACAGACUCUUCUUUGUGAUAAUAUACAAAGUGUAAGCUGAGGUGGUGACAACUCACCUUCACUCAUCAAUCAAGGUCAACACGUCUAGAUACAUUGAACCUAAUGCAUCCAAGAGUAGAGCAAGUGACACAUCACUUCAUCAAAUAUUGUUUGUCUUACCUAACCUCAUUUCCUAUUGGUAAAAGUUCAAGGAGGGACAUGUGUCCAAAAAUGUAAUUUUGUCAUUGGUCAAGCAUUAAAUGUAAUGCAAAGUUAGUUGUAACUAACCCUGAUUAGGGUUUCUCAUGUAAUCUCGGCCAUUCAUUUGUAAAGGGAAGUCUAUAAAAGGCUUGAUCUCCUCAUUUGUAAAGGUCAAUAGUUGAUAGCAUAAGCAGUUAGAAGUAGAAGUAGAAGUAGAGUAGGAGGAG